rnacentral:rRNA from 1 species
UUAGCUUGAUUAUUUGUUUGUUAAGUUUUAUAGGAAAUUAAAGUCAAGGUAAGAAUUCUUUGGUUUUUUAGGGGACGAUAAGACCCUAAAAGCUUAAUUAGCAUGCUUGUUAUUAGUUAUAUAAAGUAGUUUAUUUUACUGGGGUGGUAAAAGUUAAUUUGCUAUAUAGUUUUUAUGUGAUCCCGUAGAUAAGGAUAAAUUGGUAAAGUUACUUUAGGGGUAACAGUGCAAUAUUUUUGGAGAGGUCUUAUCGAUAAAAGUGCUUGCAGCCUCGAUGUUGAAUUAAAAUAUCUACGUAAGGUAGGAAGUAUAGUAGAGGGUUUGUUCAACCUUUAAAUUUUUACAUGAUUUGAGUUCAAACCG